GUUGCAGUUGUUCUUUUUUUUUUUAUCAUUGAUGAGUGCUGACGAAUCUAAUUGAUGUAUUUUCUUUCUGGAGUUGAAGUUCUGGGAAUUAUGAGUUUUUCAACGAUAUUUUUAGGUGUAAGUCAAUAGAGAGCCAGCUGAACACGCCUCGAACUUCUGUUUCUUUAUAUAUUUCGUGAUGGAUGAAUCCAUCGGGUUCUCCGAGACCAUGUGGCAUUUUGGGUUCCAAACCAGGUAACCAUCCACCAAUUCUGGAACAUCCAAGUGUCAAAAGGCGAUAAAAACAAGGAUUCUCUACAAUGAGCGAUGACGAGAGAGAUAAUUUCCGAGACGCAUAUACUAUGAAAAUAUCGAAUAGGAAUCUCCGAUGAUUUUAUCUUAGAAAACAAUUGUAUUGUUAUUUCUAUUUCUUUGAAUUUUUUAAAGAACAUA